GCAAAACGCGAAGAACCUUACCUACCCUUGACAUGCCAGGAACUUGCCAGAGAUGGCUCGGUGCUCGAAAGAGAACCUGGACACAGGUGCUGCAUGGCCGUCGUCAGCUCGUGUCGUGAGAUGUUGGGUUAAGUCCCGCAACGAGCGCAACCCUUGUCAUUAGUUGCUACGUAAGGGCACUCUAAUGAGACUGCCGGUGACAAACCGGAGGAAGGUGGGGAUGACGUCAGGUCAUCAUGGCCCUUAUGGGUAGGGCUACACACGUCAUACAAUGGCCGGUACAGAGGGUUGCCAACCCGCGAGGGGGAGCCAAUCCCAGAAAACCGGUACGUAGUCCGGAUCGCAGUCUGCAACUCGACUGCGUGAAGUCGGAAUCGCUAGUAAUCGCGGAUCAGCUUGCCGCGGUGAAUACGUUCCCGGGUCUUGUACACAC
rnacentral:rRNA from 1 species